CCUACGUGCGGCAGCAGUGGGGAAUAUUGGGCAAUGGGCGCAAGCCUGACCCAGCAACGCCGCGUGAAGGAAGAAGGCUUUCUGGUUGUAAACUUCUUUUAAGAGGGAAGAGCAGAAGACGGUACCUCUUGAAUAAGCCACGGCUAACUACUUGCCAGCAGCCGCGGCAAUACGUAGGUGGCAAGCGUUGUCCGGAUUUACUGGGUUUAAAGGGCGUGCAGCCGGGAAGACAAGUCAGAUGUGAAAUCCCGCGGCUCAACCGCGGAACUGCAUUUGAAACUGUUGUUCUUGAGUACCGUAGAGGUCAUCGGAAUUCCUUGUGUAGCGGUGAAAUGCGUAGAUAUAAGGAAGAACACCAGUGGCGAAGGCGGAUGACUGGACGGCAACUGACGGUGAGGCGCGAAAGCGUGGGGAGCAAACAGGAUUAGAUACCCGAGUAGUC
rnacentral:rRNA from 1 species